rnacentral:sRNA from 1 species
GUCCGUUGGUUACCAUACGUCUUGUUGGAUUAUUCGUUACUCCCCGGUCGUUCGUACUCAUCUUACUUUUCCACGCUAUUAUGGCCGUAAUGGCUUAGUUUUACUUAGAUUUACCAGGAAAUAAUUAUGUCUAAUACAGUGACUGGCACUGUCAAGUGGUUCAACGAAACUAAAGGUUUUGGUUUUAUCCAGCAAGAAAAUGGUCCAGAUGUGUUCGCACACUUCAGUGCAAUUCAAGGUGAUGGUUUUCGCACUCUGACAGAAGGUCAGACUGUUGAGUUUGUCGUGUCUCAGGGUCAAAAAGGUCCUCAGGCUGAACAGAUCAAAGUUCUGUAAGCAAUAACUCGAAUUAUCAGAAAUAGCCAGCCUCCGGGUUGGCUAUUUUUU